UUUGAUUAGUUGAUUUAAGUUCUUUGUUCUUCAAUCAAAGUUUUCUACAAUCAUUCAUUAAUUCACUAAAAGCAUCAUAUAAUUCAUCAGAAGUAAAAGUUAAAGGGAUUUGAGAGGAUACUUCACUACCAUCUGUCAUUAAGCAGAUAUCUGCCUUUUCUUGGGGUUCUUCCUCUAAUGAAGACUUUUCAUUGUCGCUCCAUAUUGCGACAAAAGCCUUCUUCUUUUUUCUUGACAUUUUCUUCAAUUGGGGGCAAUCCGUUCUAACAUGUCCAGAUUUUUUGCACUCAUAGUAGAUUAUCGGUUCCUUUUUCUUUUCCUUUUCUGAUUCUUUGGCAGCAGGCUUAUUCUUCCUCACGAACUUCUUGAAUUUCCUUACAAGAAGAGCCACAUCAUCAUCUUCUUCUUCUUCUUCACUGUUGUCCUCAUAUUCUUUUUGAGCAGUGGCCUUCAAGGCGAUAACCUUCUUUCUUCGGG
rnacentral:lncRNA from 1 species